GCUGUCUUCAAGAAUGCGUUGGACAAGCACCUAAAGUCAGUACCUGACCAGCCGGGCUGUGGCUUGUACGUGCGGCCAUCAGUAACAACCUGAUUGAUCUGACCCUGAUUCACCACGAGGCCUGGUCACAGACCGGGCCGCGGGGGCGUUGACCCCCAAAACUUCCUCUGGAAAUACUCCAGCACCCGGCAACUCAGCCGUGUGCUGGGGCAAGCAUAAUACAGGGAGCGUUCUUCUGGUAACGAGAGGACUGGAGUGUGGACCAGUGCUGCGUGUAUUGGCAGUGUCCAGACCUUCCCUUCACCCUACAAAUAGACGUUUGGCAGCCAGAGAAGCAACAGUAGAGUACUCCAGAGCUACAGAGGAUAAAUCGUCUCUACGCUUUCUUGACACUUGCUCGGAUUAAGGCAUGGACUCAAGGGGCUGCAGCCCAGAGGCCUCCGCCAGCUGGAGGGCCUCCAGAGAUUAAGUGAAAAGUCUUCCGUUACUACUGUACCUGGAGUAUACCUGGAUUGUUCCGGGGGUCAGCGCCCCCGCAGCCCAGUCCACGACCAGGCCUUGCGGUGGAUCAGGGACUGAUCAACUAGUCUGUUGCUGCUGGCCGAGCCCAAACCGACAUACAAACCACAGCCCGGCUGGUCAGGUACUGACUUCGGUGCUUGUCCAGCUCCCUCUCGAAGACAACCAGGGGUCUAUUGGUAAUCCUCUUAUGUAUACUGGGAGGCAGUUGAGCAAUGUUGGGCCCCUAACACUUACUAUGUUGUCUCCUAGCGUACUUGUGGCGCCCCUGCUUUUCAUUGGGGGAAUGUUGCACUGCCUGCCAAAUCUUUAGCUUUCGUAGGGAGCAAUUUCCGUGUACAGAUUUGGGACUAGUCCCCCAAGGAUUGUCCAAGUGCAUAUUAUGAUGUACGUUUCUCUCCUGCGUUCCAAGGAGUACAGGUUAAGGGACUUCAACCGUUGCCAGUAAUUUAGGUGCUGUAUUGCACUAAUACGCGCAAUGAAAGUUCUUGCAGAUGAAUGGUUCAGUGAACCGACACGUUGAUAAAUUAGACACAUGUGCAACUCUUGGGUAUCUUUAUUCAGGAAACGUUUCGCCACACAGUGGCUUCAUCAGUCCAUACAUAGGAGAAACUUGAAGAACAGG